rnacentral:tRNA from 1 species
GAAAAGGAAAUAAGAUUAUGAUUAGUAAAAUUUAUAUUGAUAGUAAAAUUUAAUGUUUGUACCUUUUGC